rnacentral:lncRNA from 1 species
GUAUCUGUUGCAGGGGGGAAAUAGUUUCAAAGCAGCAUGAUGCCACCGCUCGACUGAAGGCCAAGGAGCUGCCUUUGGGUAAUGGAUGGCACCUCCUCUUCAUAAAGUCCAUUUCUUCAGAUGCCUCCUGUGGUGGAUGAACCUUUGCAUAUGUCAUUAAGUGCUUAUGUUGUCAACUGCUCCAUCUCAGAAAAAAAGUUUUCUCUUGACAGUGGAGUGUGAGCACACAGAGCACUCAAGGUCUAACCAGGUUAAUAGGUAGGAACAGCUAUAAAUCAGAGUCCCCAGCACUGUCUGCACUAUUUUAACUGAGAUGAUAGGAAAAUAGGUAACAAGUUUAACCCCCCAUGGCAACUGCUGUACUGAUAUCUUCACAUACACUUUACACUUGUAUAAUAACAUAUUUCAACUUUCAAAAGUGGCCUCACAUCUAUCAUCUCAUUUUACUCUAACAAGGACCCCACCCACCUCCCGGAUCUUUUAAUAUCAUAACCAGAAAGAGCUGACUAAGUCAACAAGGGAAGGUACCAUGCUGGGUGCUUUAUACAUAUGACUUCCAGCGCUGACAACGAUCCAUUCUGGUAGAUAUUAUUGUCUCCUUGUAAUAGGGCCCAGCUGGGAUUGAACUGAAGUGUGUCUAGCUCUAAAACCCUUGUACUUUCAACUGGGUCAUCAUACACUUAUCCUAUGUUCUAAUUCAUUAUUAAAAGUCAAUCUUUCCUAUGGAUAAUGGUUACUUUGAGAGGUGGGGGUAGUGACCAGAAAGGGAUGUAAAGGGGGUUGCUGGUAAUGUUGUUUUUUCAUUUGGAUACUACUUAGAUGAGCGUGUACCCUUUGGGAAAGCCCACUGAGUUGUACACUUAGGAUUUGUGCACUUUAUGUAUGUUUGUAAGAAAUAUUUCAAUAGGAAACAUUUUAAAGCUAGUUUUUCUUUUGAAGGUGUAAGCUUUUUACUUACUUGUCUCCAAAAUCUAACUCUUUAUGUGCCUGUAUGUUGCAGUGGAAAAAGUGAGCUCAUGAUCAUUUUGCUUAUUUACAAUGGAUAAAUGAGAUCCAAAUACACAGAAUCAAGGGAAGGAGUUGCUUCUUCUAAGAGUGAUGCUUAAUCUUUUGGGUCAUGGAUGAAUUGAAGAUUUGAUUAAAGUUACAAUAAAAAGAGAAAUAAUCAAAGCACGUACAUUCUGUAUCACGAACGGUGCCAAACUCUUUAUAUAUAUUAGCUUCUUUCAGCUGUAUCAUAACACUGAGAGGUGGAUGCUAUUAUUUCCUUGUUACCCCUCUACCACACACACACACACUCUCUCUCUCACACACACACACACGCUCGCACACACAGAGUUUUCCCUGUUAUUUCAGGGAGCUCAUGAAUGUCCUAAGGUACAUUAUCCGGAGACACAGCUUAAGAGCCCCUAUCAGGUUGAAAAAAAAUGACAGAAGAAAAAAAUUUUUAAAGCAAUGGAUUAUGGAAAAGGACUCAGAUUGUUAAUUCAAUUAAGUUGUAGUUUGUCAUUUUACAUUCUUUUGUUUCUCCUAUAAAGCUUGAUGUCAUGUAAUUUUUCUUUUCUUU